UACGGAGGGUGCAAGCGUUAUCCGGAUUUACUGGGUUAAAGGGUGUGUAGGCGGGUCUAUAAGUCAGUGGUGAAAUCUCCGGGCUCAACCCGGAAACUGCCAUUGAUACUAUAGGUCUUGAAUAUUGUGGAGGUGGGCGGAAUGUGUCAUGUAGCGGUGAAAUGCUUAGAGAUGACACAGAACACCGAUUGCGAAGGCAGCCCACUACGCAACUAUUGACGCUGAGGCACGAAAGCGUGGGGAUCAAACAGG
rnacentral:rRNA from 1 species